GUCUCUUGUGUUAAGGUGCAUCUAGUGCAGUUAGUGAAGCAGCUUAUAAUCUACUGCCCUAAAUGCUCCUUCUGGCACAGGCU
ncrna:Capra hircus (goat) microRNA chi-mir-18b precursor